UGCAACUCUCCUCUUUUUGAGUACCAAAUUUUAAGUUUUCAAAGGUUUUGUAUAGAAGAACUAUACAAAUCCUUGGUAUUUCUAUUUUCUUUUCUACAUCAGUAAAAUGACCCCUUGUCUGAGGGAGGGUUGUUCUCAACCUGACAAUAACAAACACAGGUCAAAGUACGGCCUUUUACACAGGGCUUUGAUACAGACCAAACAGCAAGCUAUAAAGGAUCCCAAAAUUAUUAGCGUACACAAUUCGAACAGGAAAACCAACGAUCUAAUUUAUAUAUCCAAACGGCUUGAAACGGGAAAAUACCCAUGAACAACAUCAACAUACGAUAACUGCUGAACGACAGGCCCCUGAAUCAAUCAGGACAGGUGCAUAAACAUGCAGCGGCUAUAGAUAGUUUUGUUUUGCCAGCAUACAAUAUAAUUGCAGUUGAAGGCAAAUCCUUCAGAAGUUCUUUGUACUUUAUUCUAACAACGAACAUUUUUUUAAUAGGGAAUUUAAGUAAGGGGGAAAGAAACCAAUGUUGAUAUCUUUUUAUAAUAUUUACAAAAAAAAAACGGUGCGGGAAAUAGACAUGAUUACAUUUCCGGAUGCGGGAAUAUAAAAAAAAUACAAAAAUUCUGUUUUGAAAAAAAAUAGGUGCGGGCGGGUCCGUCGAACAAGGAAUCAAAUUGGUGUGGCCUAAGCAUUGAAAU
rnacentral:lncRNA from 1 species